rnacentral:rRNA from 1 species
GAUGAACGCUGGCGGCGUGCCUAAUACAUGCAAGUCGAGCGAAUGGAUUAAGAGCUUGCUCUUAUGAAGUUAGCGGCGGACGGGUGAGUAACACGUGGGUAACCUGCCCAUAAGACUGGGAUAACUCCGGGAAACCGGGGCUAAUACCGGAUAAAAUUUUGAACCGCAUGGUUCGAAAUUGAAAGGCGGCUUCGGCUGUCACUUAUGGAUGGACCCGCGUCGCAUUAGCUAGUAGGUGAGGUAACGGCUCACCAAGGCAACGAUGCGUAGCCGACCUGAGAGGGUGAUCGGCCACACUGGGACUGAGACACGGCCCAGACUCCUACGGGAGGCAGCAGUAGGGAAUCUUCCGCAAUGGACGAAAGUCUGACGGAGCAACGCCGCGUGAGUGAUGAAGGCUUUCGGGUCGUAAAACUCUGUUGUUAGGGAAGAACAAGUGCUAGUUGAAUAAGCUGGCACCUUGACGGUACCUAACCAGAAAGCCACGGCUAACUACGUGCCAGCAGCCGCAGUAA